rnacentral:rRNA from 1 species
AGAGUUUGAUCCUGGCUCAGGAUGAACGCUGGCGGCGUGCCUAACACAUGCAAGUCGAACGGAGUUCUUAAGGAAUGCGGCUUCGGCCAAAUGACUUUUGAACUUAGUGGCGGACGGGUGAGUAACGCGUGAGCAACCUGCCUUUCAGAGGGGGAUAACAUUUGGAAACAGAUGCUAAUACCGCAUAAGAUUACAGUACCGCAUGAUACAGUGAUCAAAGGAGCAAUCCGCUGAAAGAUGGGCUCGCGUCCGAUUAGAUAGUUGGUGAGGUAACGGCUCACCAAGUCGACGAUCGGUAGCCGGACUGAGAGGUUGAACGGCCACAUUGGGACUGAGACACGGCCCAGACUCCUACGGGAGGCAGCAGUGGGGAAUAUUGCACAAUGGGCGAAAGCCUGAUGCAGCAACGCCGCGUGAGGGAAGACGGUUUUCGGAUUGUAAACCUCUGUUUUCGGUGACGAACAAAUGACGGUAACCGAGUAGGAAGCCACGGCUAACUACGUGCCAGCAGCCGCGGUAAUACGUAGGUGGCAAGCGUUAUCCGGAAUUACUGGGUGUAAAGGGAGCGCAGGCGGGAUAGCAAGUCAGCUGUGAAAACUAUGGGCUCAACCCAUAAACUGCAGUUGAAACUGUUAUUCUUGAGUGGAGUAGAGGCAAGCGGAAUUCCGAGUGUAGCGGUGAAAUGCGUAGAUAUUCGGAGGAACACCAGUGGCGAAGGCGGCUUGCUGGGCUCUAACUGACGCUGAGGCUCGAAAGUGUGGGGAGCAAACAGGAUUAGAUACCCUGGUAGUCCACACUGUAAACGAUGAAUACUAGGUGUGCGGGGACUGACCCCCUGCGUGCCGCAGUUAACACAAUAAGUAUUCCACCUGGGGAGUACGAUCGCAAGGUUGAAACUCAAAGGAAUUGACGGGGGCCCGCACAA